rnacentral:rRNA from 1 species
CGUAGGUGGCAAGCGUUAUCCGGAUUUACUGGGUGUAAAGGGCGCGUAGGCGGUUUUGCAAGUCAGAUGUGAAAUCUCCGGGCUUAACCCGGAAACUGCAUCUGAAACUGCAGAACUUGAGUACUGGAGAGGAUAGUGGAAUUCCUAGUGUAGCGGUAAAAUGCGUAGAUAUUAGGAGGAACACCAGUGGCGAAGGCGACUAUCUGGACAGUAACUGACGCUGAGGCGCGAAAGCGUGGGGAGCAAACAGGAUUAGAUACCCU